rfam:Gossypium arboreum cultivar AKA8401 contig_64025_1, whole genome shotgun sequence.
UUAAUCCUUUUAUCCAAUUAUCCUUAAUUGAGCUAAAUUCUCAAAGAAGAUUAGCAUGGCCCCUAUGCAAGGAUGACACGCACAAAUGGAGAAAUGGUCCAAAUUUCA